GUGCUCCCUUCUAAUCAGAAGAACCUCUUACUGGCCUUGAAAGAGGAACAUUGUGUAGGGAAGGGCUAGGCCUUCCAGGCCCGGCAAGAAACAUCUUAAAACUGCCAUGCCUUGUUUGCAUUGCUAUGGUUGGAUUUUCAGGGUGCAUUUGCAUGUGUGGAGCGAAGCGGAAUACUGAUACAGAACUCAGGAGGCUGGAGUGCCCAAGCUCACAUCAGGGCGUGGAGUUGGAGCAUUCCACGUUCUAAUUUGUCCUUGUCGCCGGCUCACCAUGUGACCCAAGGCAAGUCCUAUUGCCUCCUCAAGUCUGUACCCUGAGCAUUCCAGAAAGGGAUAGAGAUGCCAAUCUCAAAGGAUACAGACAACACUAUUUUCAUAAGUUCUGGGAGCAUCCAGUGGCUGUGCUGUGGUUGUUACUGUAAAUGAAAUCACUGUAAUUAUACAUUUGUCACUUAAUGCCUUGUGCAUAGUAUUAAAUGUGAUAUAUUAUGUUAUAUUUUAGGUAACAGAUCUUACUCCUCUGAUUUAUACAGAGAGGACACAGAAGUUGACUCCAUAGCCCCUUAGAGUUGGCUGGCGGGAACUUGCAAAGCCAAAACUUUCCAUGUCCCAGGGAUUUGGUGUGAAUGUGACUGUUCCAUGCGUUGUGGGUCUAGGUACAGGAGAUGAGACCGGGGUUCCCUUGGGGACUCAUAAUAUGCCACCCCUUCACAGGGCAGGAUGAGAUCUUCCUGGAAAAUGACUUCAGGGUGCUGGUCCAGGUCUGAACUUUGUACCCCGAUGGUGGUCCAGAGGGGCCAUGGCAACUUCCAGCAUUCUUACUAUAGAUCCAGGAAGGAAUCUGAGAGGAAAGUUUUGCCACUGUGGUGAGUGAAGUGCUCCUUGGCCUGAUACGUUGACCAAAUAGCUUGCUUUGGAGAGAUUUUUCUCCUGGCUGUUUGUUCAGAAAGACCCAGCAAGAUUGCUUUUUUCUCAAAGCACCUUGUUGGAACAAAAAGAAAUCUUAAGGGUACUAGCCACACUUUCUGAUGUUAUAGGGAUGAUGAAAAAAAAAAAAAAAGCAACAAUUGUCUUCAAGCAAAGACAUUGAACCUUUUGUAUGGGAUAUUUAUUUUGAGGACUGACUAGUGUUCCAUUGGCUGGGGCUGUUAUUCCAGUAUUGUAGGCUCUGGCCACAUAGUUAGGGCAGAGGUUUACAGGAGGAAAACGAAAGUCCCCUGAGCUGUGGUUCUUGGGAAAUUUCAGCAUGCAUGUUCAUCUUUCUUUGUGGAGUGCUGUUUAAACUUUCACUAAUUUAUUUUCUCCGUCUGUGAUUUCUUUUCCAAGGCCACCAGGGUACGUCUACAACCCUUAGAAAGGUGGCCAGGUUUUGGAUUAUGAGCCACAUGAGGUUUCCCUUAGGCCAAGUAUGGUCAGCCUAGCUGGGUUUCAGGAUGGAAGCGCAUAAAACAGACUGGAAGAGACAGAAUUACUUUCCAGGGGCUUCAUCAGACAGGUUUGUGGCUUUCCAGUGCCAUCUCCUCUGCCUCACAUCCUGUUCUCAGAUGAACUUGGGAGUGGCCCGUAGGUUGUGUGAGUCUGCCUGGAGGGGAGAAGCCCACACUGGCCCUGCUUUACAUUUCCGACUAUAGAAAGUAUUUUGGAACCCGUGAUAAACUAACCCGGUACGUGGAACCACAAAGAUUGUCUUCUGAACUGAUUGAAUGCCCUGGAUUUAUCCCUGAGGCCUCUAUACCAAGGAGAGUAUGUCCAGCCUACUCUCCAGAGACUGAUCUGGCCCAAGCUGUGCCCGGUGGCUGCCACCUUAAAAGCCAGGCCAGCAGCAGAGGCUCACUCCGGAGUUUCAGAGUGUCAUGGCUGGGGUUUGUAUAGGGAUUGCUGGAGAGGGCCAACAUCAUGCAAUUCUGGGGAUCCCAAGGGGGACCCUUAGUCAGAGGACACCUGCUACUUCAGGUGACCCUUAGUCAAGAGACUCCUGCCGAACCAGUGGAAGAAGACAGACAAGGGAUAGGUCAUGAUUAGGGAACACCUACUCACCACACACACACACACACAAAAUGUUCUAGUAAACUAAAUAUUUAUCUUCUGAGUAAGGUUUCGUUUUUAAAAUUGCUUUUGAAUCUUUAAUUUGUUUUGAAUGCUGGGAGUUCUUAGCACCCCCACUAACAUGCAUCUCCAAAAUGCCAAGCAGAGAGACUUCAGGAUGUCCAGUUAAGGCUGUGAGUACAGGUGUGGAUGCGCUGAAAUCAUGGGAAAGGAUGAAAUCUUGUGCCCUGGGAAGAAAACAAAACAAAACAAAAUCCCAAACCCCAAAACAUGGGUUACAUUCACUUGCUUGAGGAAGCAGGCACAGAAUGCAGUGCAGUCUUGCCGUCAGAUUCUGGCGUUUUCUAGCUGGAGUCUGGAAUCUGGAGUCUCAGGAAUCUGGAGUUUCCUUAUCAUGAAGAUGUGUGUGCACAGGUGUCCAGGAUUCACUGUCCAGACAAUGGUGGGGAGGGUUUGUGAGCAGCGAUGGCCGUCAGGCUUGGGUAAGGAUGAAGGUCAGGACUGUCAGCUAUGGUUGUAAAGUGUACACACAUGGCACGCAGAGUGAAAAGGCCCAUGAUGUAUUUUUUGAGGCUGUCUAAGUUUUGCCUUCAGAUUAGAGGAGAACGCUGCCGGGCUGGGUUUGUCUGUGAAACCUUCCUUACUACUGGGAUUUCUGGCCAGAGGGGUACUCGGUAGAAAUAUCUUAAAUUUAGAAUCUCCUUUUGUAUAUUUAAGAAAGAUAUUUACAACCAAAUUAGGCUUUUAAAAAAAUAAGAUUACAUCUUAAAUGAUUAUAAACUACACCAAUGCCGCAGCCGCCUUCCCUGUCCCUUUGGGCAGUACAGCUGUGGCCAGUCUUCCUCUGGGUUUCACAGUACCCGGGCCUGACAAGGCUGGUUCUGACCUGGACAGAGAACUUAACAGUCUUCUCACGUCAACUGCCUUCCCAUGUAGAGGAAAGCUGGUUGGCGGGGAUUCUAGCUAGGCCUAUGGCAUGCAGUUGGGUCCGAUGAGGAUCCACUGCCCACCCCCCAUGGUGCUCCACUGUCCCAAGGCCUCAAUGGCCUGCUGUAGCUGUGGCGAAGCUGUCGUCUCCUAUAUGGCGAGCUGAGCAUGGUGGUAAUCACCUCUGAUUGUAGUGAUUGUGUGUGUGUGUGUGUGUGUGUGUGUGUGUAUGAUACCUCCCCUUAUGGCUGUGUGAUACAGGUUCUGCCUCUUUUCCCUUGUCUCAGCACGACCCCCAAAUAGCCAUUGGUCGGGUUUCAAUGGCUUCUCUGCACUGUAGACUGACAGAACAGGGCCCAUUUCACACAGCAUAGGGACCCUUCUCCUCCCAGGGCCAGGCUCUUGGCAGCCAUGCCAAGCCAUUGCUGGCAUGGAUUCCCGGCGUUCUUGGUCGAGCGCAUGGCAUCGGAAUGCUACCUGCUUUGUCUCUGGCGUCAGCUGGCAAGCAGUCACGUGGCCGUGUGCGUGAGAGCCCGAGCUAGAGACCAGAGACUCCUCCCGGGAAGCUUCCUCCUAGCUCACUCUACCCACCCUUUUCUUGGCCUUCGGCGUGAGUGCCUGAGCAGGCAGAAAGCAGUAUAAAACAAACAGGCUGCCCAAGGAAGGCCAGGUCUACAUGAUUUGCCUGACAACGCUUUACCUGAAUCGUUAUGGGCAGAAAGGCCCUCAGUGUGUCCCACGUGAUGAGGAGUUAGGCUCAUGGGUAGUGGUUCCUCUAGACCAUCCUCUGUGGCAGAGCUGGCCCCAGGGUGCCUAGGUGUCUGAGGAGAGAUGGCACAUCCCGCUCAUGCACUGUUUCCCAUACUCCAGACGCCUUGAGUACCUCUGACAUCACAUAAAGGCCCCAGAGUGACACUCUGAGAGGACUGCCAGGCCGAUCUGGCACAGGCAGGCAGAUUUGCCCCUCUCAGGCCCUUAGCCCCUCUGGCUGUUUCAGAAGGCUGGAGGAUAGGAAUGAUCCCCAAAGCAGUGACAAGGAAUGGCUUUAGUUAUGCUGAAGAAUCUGAGAGGAGAGAGUGCUGUCCUCCCUGACACUCCUUCUUGUUCUUGGCUGCUCGCUCACUCUGGGAUCCUCUCUGCUCUCAGGGGUAUUAGGUACCAAGCAAAAUGCUCAGCAUAAGGUGUAUUUCUUUCUGCAGCCCGUCAGCUACCACAAGUGGGAGACAUACUCUCUCUUCAUUACACAGAUGAGAAAACCGAGGCUAGACACUAGCUAAAUUCAAACCCACAGUCCAGGCUCCUGGCUGGGCAGCUCUUAGUCUCCAAGAUUAGGACGGGUCACUCUGAGAGCCCUGCUCAGGGAGUAGCUGGGGUGAGAGCUCUGUUCUCCAAAAGGAGAACAGCAGAGUGCCGGCCACCCCCUGCCGCUCUCUAGAACCCAGCAUAGGAACAAUGCGGCCUCUAUCUGGAGCAGUUUGGACCGCCUGGACUCCAGGCCCCUCAGAACAGCUUGGCUAGCCAGGCAGUCGCAACAUGGCGCCAGGGCCACCCUGCCCAUUUACAGGGCUGGCUGUCGCCUGGGCUGGGGCUGGGCUGGGGCUGGGCUGGGGCUGGGCUGGUGCUCCAGGCGUCCUCAGGCUAGCUGCUGAGUGGUCAGGCACUGUGGCAUCCUCCCUCCUCUCCCCGUCUUCCAGCCCCCGCCUCUUUUUGGUAGUGGGUUUGGGGACCCGGCCCACCCGCCUCUGCCACGUCUGCCAUCCUCCAGGCACCCACGAGCAUCUUUCGAAAAUUCCCGGUGGGCGGGGCUGAGCUGUAGCGGCCGCCUCUGCCCCCCCUCCCUGGGAGCCAGUGCCAGAUGAGAGAGAGCAGGAGACAAAAGUAGCAUUUUCCUCGUCCUCCUAGGCUGGCAGCAGGGCCUUCCCCCAGCGCCACUUGCUCCUGGCAGUUCUAACCCCCGGGUGCCCCAGCGGCCAAGGCCCAGGCCAGGACCUACGGACUGAUGGACGCCAGAGCCCAGGAGGCCCAAGAGCCUGUCUGACAGAGGCUGUCACCUGGGCACGGCCUGCUGGCUGGCAAGAGCCCUCUUCCCCAGCCAGGGCAGGGGACAUCGUUUUCACUUCCUGGCUUUUGAGAAAGUGACCCUGUUCUCCAGUUCCUUGGCUUGUACCUGUUGGUGAUGAUAUUAGAGAACAGCGGAAGUGACAAAUGGAUGAAACCCGACGCAGCUGCCUUAGGAGUGAGAGGGCUUCUAAAGGAAUGUAGCUGAGAUGGUGGUUGGAGAGGCCACACGUGAGCCGGCCGGAGGGAGCCCUCAGCAUCUGUUUGGCACCCAGCGACCUGGCUACGAAUGCGGCGACAGGAGGCUUCGGUCCUGCCAGAGGGCUCCGCAAACAACUGGAGAGGUUUCUGGAGAACAUGGAAGCGCCAGAGAGCCUCCCAGGAAAAGUGAGCGCCUGUCGUGUGUGGCAGAAGACCACCUACGACCUCACACACAGGAUCAGAAGCCUAAUCUCAAAGUGAUGCCAUCAAGGCCCACAAACACCUCCGGCAGCCCUGAGUCAUCGCCGUUUGACAAUCCAGUACCAAGGUAGGACAGCAGAGCAAGCUCUGGGAGCCGGGAGUGGCCAGAUAGACCUGCUUACUCCGGUGAUGGGGCAAGGGUGUUUUUUUGUUUUUGUUUUUGUUUUUGUUUUUUUUUUAAUUUAUUUAUCUAUUUUUUGUAUAUAAAUGCUCUGUCUGCAUGUAUAUCUACAUGCAAAAAGAGGACAUCAGAUCUCAAUAUAGAUGGUUGUGAGCCAUCGUGUGGUUGCUGGGAAAGUGGGGACGGGGGGGUUCUUAAAAGAAGCUAGGAAGUAUUUCCAUGCAGAACAGAGAAGGGUUAUGGGACUUUUGACUCUUCUUGGGCAGCAUGUGUGUUUCUUGGUGGCCCUGCAUGGCCCUGUGCCUUCUACCAGGGUAGCAAGAAGCUGUGUGUAGACAGCACGGUCAGGCUGUCUAUAGGAAGCUAGCUGGAUGCCGGCCCCAGACUUCUUACCCACAACUCCCGGGCAGAACAUUCAGUCACCCUGCAGUGAUCUGUGUUCAGGUCGUGCCCUCCUUCCAGAGAGACCCAGUAGAAUGUCCAAAAUCUACCUUCCCAGACCAGUGCCAGGUUAGGAGGGGAUCUCCUGGGAUCCUGGAGGGACUGGGCCUACAGGGAGCUGAUUGAGGGGUCUGUCAGAGAGCAGGCAGAGUAGGUACUUCGUGACUACAUCUGUAAUCAUUUCCCACCCGCCUUCCUAUCACCCAGACGAUGCCUAAGUUGAGAAGAGGUACAGAUGAGCACACACCUCUGUGGUCAAAGCUGGUAACUUGUAGCCUAACCGCCCAUCCCCAAGCUGAGUCCAGGGAGCAGGAGGGCCCUGCACAAUGGCCUUUCCCCACUGUACACCAGACCAUGUGUUCUUUGCCCUAGGCAUAAGCCAGCAACCUCCUCAUGGCUCCUGCUACUGUCUAUAACGACAGCUAUCUCACUGGCUCCCCAGAGAAGGCACAUGGAUGACUGACUUUGCCCCAGGUAGAGAGCGCGAAGCUCAGAUAUGGGCCUCCUCAGGCAGCUGUAGACCCCGGCUCCCCCAUUCUCUCUCAUGAGCUCUGCUACGGGCUACUUCUAGGGGCGGCCCUGCCACCAGGGCUCUCCAGGCCUUGAGCUCUGUGCAGGUAGCAUCCAUCUGGCCCCUGCAGAAUCUGUGGUACACUUUUGGGAGAGGGUGUUCAGGCCUGUGGUGCCCUUCCUCACAGACCUGCCAAGCAUUCUAGCCAGAAGGCAGGGGAGACUCAGCAAACCUGGGUCAUCUUCACUCAAGUAUCGUCUUGUAAUGUCGGGGGGGGGGGGGGCUUUGCAUUAAUCAUUUCUCUGAACUUCUCACAAAGGCUUUACUUGUCUUCAUGACUGAGAUUUUGGUCACCCCUAACAUGUCUUAGCCAGAUCCAAGAUGGCGCUCGGUGGGCACGGCCCUCCUCUGGGCACACCGACCUAUGCCUAGUCAGUGAGCAUACAUCUUGUUAACUUUAUGGGCCGUGUUCACAAGGAGAUCCGCCCUCUGCCCAGCCGGAUGCCACCCCUCCCAUCGUUCCCAGACUUGCUGUUGGCACGGCCUACUGAGCAGAGACACUGGCCGCUUUAUGGGAGAAACCUAAUCAGGGAGACCAGGAGAGGGGGGCUGCCCCUGGUGUGUGUGGGUUGCGGGGGGGGGUCUGGCUCUUGGUGGCCCCAAGCCAAGCCUGAGGUGACUUCAGGGUGACACCGUCUGUCUGCCUCUCUCCCUCCAGACAUCCGCCCAGCCUUGAAAGGGCCACCUGCCUGCCUAGGCCUUUGGCGCACCUGUCCUGGCCAGCCUGGCUCCUCCCCCAGGCACCCUGCCCAUGGACAGACACUGCAGGACUGGGGCAGGGCUGGGAGGUGGCAGCUGGCAGAUGGCAGGGCGUCUGCUGACUGCUCACUCCCUGGCGACCUGUUCAGGAGCGCCAUUCAUGUGCACUGCCCGCCCUGCCACUGGCCCUCCUCCAGCUUGGCCCCACUGGGUCCCUUUGGUCUGUUUCAGGACCCCCUUCUCUGUUACCUCCUGAGAAAGGAAGCAUUUCUCUGAGUCCUAACCAACCCCCAUCUCCAGCCUGAGGCCAGUGGUCAAGGCCUAGCUGUUUCGCAGGUGGGCUUGGCACAUCUGAACAUGCCCCAAGUAUGGACCUUGGCCUUUUCCACAGUCGUUCACAAUGACUCUGGAGAUGGCCACAGACCCAGAAAGGGUGACAUGGCCUGAACUUGAGGAAUUACUCCAAGUCUGCUGGGUGAGGCAGAGCUACGUAGGAACUGAGGAGACCAUGAUAGCCAUGCUUGCCACCCGAGCACAGGAGAGACACUGUCAGAAGAAUGGGUUUAAGACAGACAUCUGUGGGUCAGCCUCACCAGACCCCCUGGAGAGCAGGAACCUUGCAGAAAGAAACAGGAAAAACAGGUCAGCGGUUCCUGGCAGAGAGACAGACCAGGGCAAAAGCCAGGAGGUGGGAAGGGCCUGGGAAAUGGCCAAGGAGGGCAGAGGAGGCUUGCCCAGGGCAUUUGCUGCUUUGUGGGUUGGGGGCAGGGCUGAUGGGCACAGUAGGAAGGAUCAGAGAAAGGGUGUCAGUGUGAUGGAUAGCUUGGCUGUCUUGGAAGCACAGGCGAGGCUGGUAGUCAGGGAGGGGGCUUUCCCACCCUGUGUCCUCACCAGACCCUUAGUAGCCAAUGAGCUCAUCUUCCCAUCCCUGAGCUGUGAGGGGAUAGCAAGGCUGGAGACAAAACGCGCUGGCUUGAUGGACAGAUCCUGACUAGGGCUUGUCUCCAUAGUCUGCACUCAGGCUCAGCUCCAGAGCCCUUGCCGGCCAGGCUACUCCCUCACAACCACCAUGUCCCUACUUGGCCUUCCAUCUUACUGCCGGCUCCGCCAUGAUGCUUUGGCCAGAGUGGGCCCGACAGCAGUAGAUUAGUGACUUGAUUGAUGGAGCAAGCCUGUGGUCCAAUGAGCCCCUUCCUUGGGUCUUUGCUCUUAGAUCCAGGACCCAUUUGCCCUAUGGCAGAAGCUGCAGCCUCUGAAAGGGGAUUAACUCUCCCUCUAGGGUACCACAGGCCAGUGUGCAUGAGGCGAGCAUGAGCUUGUCCCCUCACCAUGCUUCCUCUCUCCCUCUGGGCCCCACAGCAUCCAAUCAUCAGCCAGGAGGGCCACUGGCCACCCACACAGACAUGCUGAGCCACCAUGAAUGAAGUUCAAGUCGUAGUCUCUUACCAGCACGUCUAUCGCAGGGCUGGUCUCAGAGGCCAUUCCAUGCAAGGCUUUGCAUACAGAGCGUCACUGGGCAGCAGACAGACUGAGUGAAAAACUGUGCUCUGAGGUAUGAAGGUGUGGCCUGGGGAGGUAGCCAGGGGCCAAGCUUUCUCCUUUUCUGAAGCCGAUGUUCAUCCGCUUUUGUUUCUGAACCCAAGCAGGUCAGGAACUGGUACCACGAAGGAACUUCUGCAUUCAGACAGCUCCCCUGUGGUGAGUAGGGGCCCACUGCCUUUCCUCUGGAAAGUAGGGAGCCAUUGGGAGACUUCAGAAUGAGGAAGGUCAGAACCACAUUUCUGUCCCUGCUCCCAGACCUGCCCUCAGCCUUGGAUGCCUUUACCUAGAGGCCUUGUGCUCCUCCCUCACCCCAGUACUGUGCCUCCCCACAGUGAACUGCACCAGAUGACAUAUCUGCCCAUGAUGCACUGUGAUAGGAUGACCUUUGACCCCCUCUCGGCCUACCCAGGCCAGACAUGGUUUGACAGAGAUGCAGUCCCCUUCAUUACUGGCUCUGAGUGGAAGAAUCACAGCCUUGAGAGCCCUCUGGGGCCCUGGGUAUGAGGUAGCUCUCUUCUCUCUGUCUCCCACCAUCAUCUCUCAGCCCUCUGGUGUGAUCGUAACACCCCCAGGCCACCUGGCAUUGGUGGAGGGCCUGCCAGAAGAGUCUUGCCUGGAGUAAGAAGAAAGGGCAGAGGAGGCAAACAGUCACAUCUGUUUCCGUGUUGGGCUAAGGCACAGGGGGUGGUGGCCAUGGUCAAGGAGAACCAGGAUACUUGUCUCUUGUUAUUUCUGUCCCACAGCUUGGGCCCUGCAAGGCUUGUGUUUCAGUGAAGCUCAAAUUCAGGGAGAGCCAGCAAGUGCAGAGCAGGUGUUUUGGGGCCCGUCAUGGGGGGCACAAACCGUCCUCCGGCUGAUAUUUAACUACAGAGUGGCUGAGGAGCUGCUGAGAAUCCCCAAGGCUCAGCUCAAGGGACCCCACAGAAAUGUAAGCUGUAAGAGUCACCCAGUGAGACUGGGAUUGAGAUGUGUCUUCUCUCUUUCUUCAAGGUGCUUUUUUUUUUUUUUUUUUUGAGGGGGGCACUCAGAUGGAGAUGGCCAGUGUGGCCUCUCGUCAUUCCACCACAUCCAGGUGCAUCCUGGGAACUGACAUGGUCCGUCAGCUACAGAGUGGCUAAGCAGUUUGUGAUACCCCUCAACCUUCCCACCUGGCCUGCUCAUCACAGAUGGGCACAUUAAGGCAGGGGGGAGGGGCUCAGCCACUCUUUUUCCCAUGCCUCUUCCUGCCUUGCUGGCUCUGUUUGGACCAUCCUUGGGGGAUAUUUGAGUUGUCUGUCAGUGAAAGGGUCCAGGCUUCAUGCAGGGGAUGGCACCCCAAUGGCUUACAUAGAAUUCCUUUGGGGCUUUUCAGUUUAGUGGUUCCUAUCGCCUCAGACUGGACAGUGGCUGCAUACUGAGGGCCAGGCUGCACUAGGGCCCUGGGGCCUUGUUCCCAAGCCACUCUGCUCCAUAAUCUCUAGGUCUGGGUACACGAUAUAGACUUAGGCCUAAUGGCUUCAUUUUGACCCAGGGGCCUCAGACUUGCUCCUGUGACCCUUGGCAGGGAGGGAAGGAGGCGUGGCAUCAGAUGCCAAGGCUCAUGCAGAGAGUGAAAACUGCCUGGCUUCCUGGGACUAAGAGACAGUGCUGCUGGGAAAUCCUGUCUCUGUCCGAGGCCUGAAAGAAGCAGCUCUUUUCCCUUAACAAGCGCAGAGCUACCCGGCGUCAGAGGCUCGGCCUUCGGAGCCUCAGUUUCUUCACAGUGAGCCCCACCCCACAGCUGGAGGAUUAGAUGGCUCUGUCCAGCCCCAUACCCGCCUAGGAAAGCUGGGAAAGGAGGCCUGCAGUACAGUCUCCAAGUGUACAUACAGGCUGACUGCUGCCCCAGAGUGAGCCUUACCUGUCCCAUUACACAGUGAACAUCGAGAUCCAGGCCAGGCCCUCUAUCCUUACCCAGGCAUUUCCCCCCUGCCAGGCUUAGUUCAAGGCUCUGGGAGCCCCAGGCAUAGAGCCCCUGCCAGUCUCAGGAAGUGCUGGUCACCAGGGACAGACUGGCCAUGAGUGUCCAGCCAGGGUCUGCCCUUGCACCCGGCUGGCCACCGUGGGGAGCUAGGCUGCCUCCCACAAGGAAAAACCAUUUUGAGCCUCCCAAGCAAGGUCAGCUCAGGCCACCCUGGGGGGAGGGAGGGAGGGAGACAGGGACAGAACCAGAACCCACAAGGAGGGGCUUUUCCUGUCUAAGAGGAGGAGGUGCAUGUCCAAGGCCACUGCCUAGCUGGAGUCCUGGUGCCUCCAACUCUCCUUGUGCUGGAACUGAGUGGGCAGGGGCUGGACCUCAGCCAGGUGGACACCGGGAGCUCCCCGGACCUGGCUGUCCUUUAACAAAUGACACCCUUUUUUCAUUGUGGCCACUCCUGCGUAGUGACAGAUGACCCCCCCCGCCCCCGCUGCUUUUCCUCUCUUCUCCCCCACUUCCCUCAUUCUCUCUGCUUGAUGAUUUUGUUUCAAUGCCAUGGCCCACUUUGAGGGGAUCCCCAUCCCCUGCUGGCUGAUCCCUUUGGCACUGAGCUGGCCGUGUGGGGCCCCUCACCAUGUUCCCAGCUCUUCCUUUUUCCUCUAGGAGGUGACCUCAGGAAGCUGCGCUCUCCAGCUCCACACCGAGACUGACUGACGGCCUUUGGGGUGAGGUAGUAGGUUGUAUGGUUUUGGGCUCUGCCCCGCUCUGCGGUAACUAUACAAUCUACUGUCUUUCCUGAAGUGGCCGCACUAUCUGCAAUGGACGCAGCGCCAGCCCUGGCUGGGGAGGCUGGGGGAGGCUCAGGGGGUGGUAGCCGCUGUGCAAAAAGAAAGUUUUACGGGGACCUUGGGCAGUCCCAUGAACUCUUGCUCUGUUACUCAUCUCUGUAAGGGUUUGGGUGUGGGCGUGGAAGCAGACGUGCCAUUUCCAGGGCACCUCCUCUUCCUGGGUCACACUGAAGGAAGGGGCCUUCCUUCCCCUCACCCCAGAUCAGACCCGGCCUCACAGGUCUCCACGAAAAGAGGGUCUGGACUCGUCCUUCAGCUCUGUACCAGCGUUGUCUUCACACUGUAGGCCUAGCAAUUUUGCCUAGGCUUUCCAGCUCAGGGUCAGGCCUCUGAUGAGUGGCCUCCAUCUACAGAGAGGCAGGAUGCCUUUCCCAAGAAGGAAGUGAGAGGAGGCGUUCUGAGCGCACAUGGGCACCUGGGCAGCUGGGCUGUGUCAGCCACUGUCCCCGGGGAGAUGGAUUCAGACACCGGAGGCUUCCCCAUCUGGUAGGCACAGGCCUUUCUUGCUGAGCCGCUGUCUCUGCUCCCCCACCCCACCCCCCGCCCUGCGCCAGCCGCGCCCUGUGGCUCUGGCGGCCCGUGGGCAGGGUGGGUGGGGAGCGUCAGGGCCUCCUCCAGAGCACGGACGCCGCAGGGUGAGGUAGUAGGUUGUGUGGUUUCAGGGCAGUGAUGUCGCCCCUCCGAAGAUAACUAUACAACCUACUGCCUUCCCUGAGGAGCCCAGGGACACGCCCACGGAGGACCCUGCUCAGCAAGCCACAUGGAGAGCCUGUGCCGUAGACUGGGCGGGCGCUGCAGUGUGGGGCCUGGGUAUAAAUAAAGGCUGUUCUGACGUGAGCUUACAA